GCAGGAGUUUGAUCCUGGCUCAGAAGGUCUUAAAGGGUGGCCUUAAAUUUUAUCCCCGGCCCGGUGAUCUCACGUGGAGCCCUACCUAUUAGACUGGGAUAACUUCGGGAAACCGGAGCUAAUACCGGAUAAUAUUUUGAACCGCAUGGUUCAAAAGUGAAAGACGGUCUUGCUGUCACUUAUAGAUGGAUCCGCGCUGCAUUAGCUAGUUGGUAAGGUAACGGCUUACCAAGGCAACGAUGCAUAGCCGACCUGAGAGGGUGAUCGGCCACACUGGAACUGAGACACGGUCCAGACUCCUACGGGAGGCAGCAGUAGGGAAUCUUCCGCAAUGGGCGAAAGCCUGACGGAGCAACGCCGCGUGAGUGAUGAAGGUCUUCGGAUCGUAAAACUCUGUUAUUAGGGAAGAACAUAUGUGUAAGUAACUGUGCACAUCUUGACGGUACCUAAUCAGAAAGCCACGGCUAACUACGUGCCAGCAGCCGCGGUAAUACGUAGGUGGCAAGCGUUAUCCGGAAAUUAUUGGGCGUAAAGCGCGCGUAGGCGGUUUUUUAAGUCUGAUGUGAAAGCCCACGGCUCAACCGUGGAGGGUCAUUGGAAACUGGAAAACUUGAGUGCAGAAGAGGAAAGUGGAAUUCCAUGUGUAGCGGUGAAAUGCGCAGAGAUAUGGAGGAACACCAGUGGCGAAGGCGACUUUCUGGUCUGUAACUGACGCUGAUGUGCGAAAGCGUGGGGAUCAAACAGGAUUAGAUACCCUGGUAGUCCACGCCGUAAACGAUGAGUGCUAAGUGUUAGGGGGUUUCCGCCCCUUAGUGCUGCAGCUAACGCAUUAAGCACUCCGCCUGGGGAGUACGACCGCAAGGUUGAAACUCAAAGGAAUUGACGGGGACCCGCACAAGCGGUGGAGCAUGUGGUUUAAUUCGAAGCAACGCGAAGAACCUUACCAAAUCUUGACAUCCUUUGACAACUCUAGAGAUAGAGCCUUCCCCUUCGGGGGACAAAGUGACAGGUGGUGCAUGGUUGUCGUCAGCUCGUGUCGUGAGAUGUUGGGUUAAGUCCCGCAACGAGCGCAACCCUUAAGCUUAGUUGCCAUCAUUAAGUUGGGCACUCUAAGUUGACUGCCGGUGACAAACCGGAGGAAGGUGGGGAUGACGUCAAAUCAUCAUGCCCCUUAUGAUUUGGGCUACACACGUGCUACAAUGGACAAUACAAAGGGCAGCGAAACCGCGAGGUCAAGCAAAUCCCAUAAAGUUGUUCUCAGUUCGGAUUGUAGUCUGCAACUCGACUACAUGAAGCUGGAAUCGCUAGUAAUCGUAGAUCAGCAUGGUACGGUGAAUACGUUCCCGGGUCUUGUACACCCCGCCUCCCACAGUUGUAACAAUGUUACCACCGGAUUUCCUCCGGGCUCACGAAGUCGUAACAAUGGAGCAGUAGAGUUUUC
rnacentral:rRNA from 1 species